CUCGUCUCUCUUCUGCUCCUGCCUCUCUUCUUAGAAACCCUAGUAUAACUUCAUCUACGAUAAUCGACAGCCGAGAAAGCAUCACAGAAACCUCUAUAUCAUCUUCAAUAAUCUUCAAUCAUCGAUCAGUUGAUUUCUUUUUAGGGUUUGAAGGACUUUGAAGAAUUUAUGCCAACUUAGAAGGGUUUGUUUUAGUGAUGGUGUUUCUGAGAUGAAGAUGGUGUUUGUAAUCGAUAUGGGUUAUGAUUAAUAGAAGAUUAAGUGGAAUGGGUAUGAAGUAGGAACGAUGAUGGUGCUGUUAUGCUAUGAAAUUGGUGGAAGAACAGGAAGGGAAUCUGGUGUUGGUUUAAUGGGUUCUGAGGAUAUGUACCGCAUUGAAUUAUGGAGUUGGGAAGAUUCAGAAGUUGUGAAGUUGAGAAAAUUCAGAAGUUGUGGAUGAUUGGGUUGCAGCUGAACUGAAGUGCAGGGAAAGUAUGGAAUUGUGGAGUUGCUGCUGUGAGAUGGAUAAAGGAUAUAAAGGAUAAGGAAAUGGUGGUUCUGCUGAGAAUGGUCUAGAAUAAGGCAAUGCCUUCCCUUCCACUUUGGUACAACCUUUUCCUUCCACUUUUUGUUUUAAGCUGCAACCAUUAAACGCAUGUUUCUUGUUUUAAGCUGCAUCCGCUUUGGUGGUGCUUGAAGUGAAAAUACUAAUGAUGUUGAGAAGAAAUUAGGAUGGGUUUUGUGUUGGUGGUGUAUGGAACAGAUGUUGAUGCUGCUGAGUUUAGAGCAGAGAGUACAAGAUAGGCGUGGGACUUCGGUUUUGAAGACUUGAAAGCUUAAGCGUCCCUGGUAUGUAUGUGUAUCACUUAACCGGAGCUCGACUUGCUCAUUGUAAUUUUGCCGGACAACAAUGGCUCACUCUAUGUUAUGGCGAGCCUCAUCUUUUAUUGAAACACCCUAUCAGCUUAGACUUUUGAUUGAUUAGUCAAAUGAAUUAUUUAAUGGACAUUUUGUACUGUAUAUGGGACUUGAAACGUAUCUGUGAGACCGAACUUGGUCUUGUUUCCCAGUGUUGUCCGACGAAGCACGUCUUUAAGAUGAGCAAGCAGUACCUGGACAAUGUCGCCCUAAAGAUAAAUGUGAAGGUCGGUGGGCGCAACACUAUUCUAGUUGAUGCAUUGUCAAGGCGCAUACUGCUUGUCAGUGAACGCCCAACUAUUAUCUUUGGUAUUGAUGUGACCCAUCCUCACCCGGGAGAGGAUUCAAGCCCCUCCAUGCUGCUAUUGGCCAGAAGUAACAAAGUAUGCUGGUUUGGUGUGUGCUCAAGCCCAUCGCCAAGAGUUGAUUCAGGAUCUGUUUAAAGUAUGGCAGGAUCCAGUUCGAGGAACUGUGACUGGAGGCAUGGUUAAGGAACUUCUUAUCUCUUUCCAUAGAGCAACUGGAUAGAAGCCUCAGCGUAUUAUAUUUUACAGAUACUUUUUACUGAAUUCUUAAAUUCUUUAACCUGUGCUCCUUGGGUUAAACAAAUUAUGUCCUGUUGAAGUCAAGCUAACUUGUCACUUUCUGUUCACACUGGCUUGUGCUUCCUUGGAGCCGAACUAUCAGCCACCUGUUACAUUUGUUGUGGUUCAAAAACGUCAUCACACAAGGUUGUUUGCAAAUAACCAUAGCGAUCGUCAAACAAUUGACAUGAGUGGAAACAUUUUACCAGGAACUGUGGUAGAUUCCAAGAUCUGUCAUCCUACUGAGUUUGACUUUUACCUCUGCAGUCAUACUGAUAUUCAGGGCACAAGUCGUUCCAGCUCACUAUCACGUGUUAUGGGAUGAGAACAAGUUUACUGCCGAUGGGCUCCACUACCUCACAAAUAAUCUCUGCUACACCUAUGCGAGAUGCACUCGAUCUGUUUCGAUUGUUUGAGCCGCCCUAGUGAGCUUCAAUCCCACGCACUUGAGCAAGUCAAUUUAUCUCCUGAUUUCCAUGGAAUUUUUUCGGCUGUUAGUAGUGUAUGGAUCUACUCUAGUUCUAAACUAGUACGCUACAAAUUGGAUGUUCCUACCAUGUUGAAAAAAGCAGAAAAUAACCCCACUAAUUUGACUUGUAAGGUGAAGGCAUCAUUAUUUGUCGUUGGUUUCUUUUCUGAGUUAUCAGAGGAUUUUGCGUCUAUUGUCUUGGAAGUGAUGAUUAACAUGAUAACUUCGUCAAAAACAACUCCGAGUUUAAAACUAGUUGGAGCUUGCAGAUUAACUUGUAUGGGGACUUCAUUAUCACUUGCAAACAGAGCUUACAAGUUCUGAAAUUUUUCCACUUCAUUUUUUGUAAUGGCCAUGCUACUGUCAUUAACUUAUUGAGAGUUAGAAAUUAUAACUAUAUGUUCUGAAACCUAUAUGUUUGUACCCCGAUUAACUUUGGGUACAAUAUCUUC